rnacentral:rRNA from 1 species
GUUCCCCUACGGGGGGCAGCAGUGGGGAAUAUUGCGCAAUGGGCGAAAGCCUGACGCAGCGACGCCGCGUGAGGAAUGAAGGUCUUCGGAUCGUAAACCUCUGUCAGCAGGGAAGAACGGUCACUGUGCUAAUCAGCAGUGAAUUGACGGUACCUGCAAAGGAAGCACCGGCUAACUCCGUGCCAGCAGCCGCGGUAAUACGGAGGGUGCGAGCGUUAAUCGGAAUUACUGGGCGUAAAGCUCUCGUAGGCGGUAUGUCAAGUCAAGGUUUAACUCCCCGCGCUCAACGUGGGACCUGCCUUUGA